UUUCAUUAGUGAUUUGUUAAUACACUCUUCAAUAUUACCUGGUAUCUCACUAAACUAUAUCUGAAUUUCCUUUUUAAAUGUUUCUGCAAAUCCUUUUUAAACGUUUGAAUAUAUUAAUUUAUAUUACUGGCUAAAUAUUUAGAUGUCUCAAGAUUUAUAUUAUUUACUUCUUGAAUAAUAAUAAUGUGCUAAAGAUCAUGGGAAGCCCAAAAGCUCUAAAAAAUUUAAUAAUUAAAAAGAGAUCUUGUUUAGUAAUUCUGGUUUAGUCCAGUAAUAGUGUCCUGCAUCCUACAUGACCUAAUACAGAUUAUUAUUCUUGUACUUUACUUUAAAUUAGUACAUUUUUAUAAAAUAUAACUUCCAGGAAAAUGAAUUUCUUAGAAACAUGCUACAGUGAAUUUUGUAUCUUUCCUAUCUCUAUCCUUAAUACCAUUCAUUUCAAGUAUCUCAAGCUUUUGCAUGAAAUUAAUCUUUUGGUAACAAACCACUUUGAAACUAAUAGUAAGUCAUAUUUUAACCUGAGAUAAUGAAUACAAAGAUUUGAGCUUUUUUUUUUUUUUAAAGAAUCUACAGCUUUCUUUGAAUGUGAUCUCUUUCUGCUGAAGGAAAGAAUAAUAAUAGUACAAUGUCCCACAUUUAUAUUGGUUUGUGCAGCGAGUGAAUUUGGGUAAAUUUAAUUUACAUCAGCAGGUGUGCUGACUCAAGGACAGCCUGAGUCAGCACAAUGCAAAUCCAAAAUAGAGCUUUCAUUUUGUUCACACAAUUACCUCUAAAAUAAAUCUUACAUGAUGGGAAGUAUUUCUUAAAUUUGCUUGAAUUAACAACAAAGUCCUAGAUGAUGUGGGAGAGAAGAAGCAUCAAGCUUUCACAGAGGUACUCGUGGUACCUAACACAGUUAGCAAUGCCAUUGGAAAUGUACUUCUAAACACUCUAUCAGUGAUAAUAGCUAAGGAUGUUCACAUGAUUAUCAUUAAUAUGCACAUAGAGACUUCCCUCUGGAAGCAUUGACUCUGAAACUAAUAUUAAAAUUGCUACAGAUAGCUAAAUAAGGAGCUAUUUGUGAGAUAAUUAUUAGAAAAAUAGCCACCACAAUUUACUUUGUAGUGAAGAUUGGAACACUGAAAGACAAUAUACUAUUUACAUAUAUCAUAUUACAUUAUAUAUUAUAUAUGUUAUAUAUAUUACAUUAUAUAUUAUGUAUACAUUAUAUUCAAGUUCAAUAAAUAAAUUUAAUUUUAAACUUGAUUUUCAAAUAUUUUAAUCUUUAGCUUACUUUUAGCAAAGAUAUAUUUUCCUUUUCUCUCUUCAAUGUCCCAACCCCAUUUAGCUCCUGUGCCCUCUCAAAUUCAUGUUUUCCUUUUCUUUAUCUAUUAUUGUUGCCUCUGUGUAGUGUUUGUGUGUGUGUGUAAUUUAGCUGGACAUGCACCUACAAUUUGUAAAUUUUGUGUUAUAUAAAUUAGAUUGCAUUAUUUAAACAGCUGAAGAGUUUGUUACAAAUGUUGGGCUUUGUCAGUUUCACUGAUGUAAAUACAGUAUAAAAUCUAGAACACUUCAUGUUGAGAUUAUACCAACUUUUCACAUGUCUGUGAUGACCACUGCUGUGUCAAUUCUUCUACUCAGAUCACUCCAGAGAUCUUGAGACUUAGAUAUGAAAUAGUUCCCAGCACAUUCAUUUCCAUGUUUAUGGUUUGUUUGUUUUCCAGCUCAGAGAUGCAAUUAUAUGGAAACAAUAUUAGAAUACAACGUCUCAAAUAUAAAAUUGCUGGACUAAUCUACCUAACAGUUCACAAUUUGCUUGUGAUAUUAUGAGGGUGUAAUCCUUUCAAGUGAGGUCUAACUGGAGGAAAUGGGUCACUGGUACAAAGGCUUUCCAAGAAGCUAGUCAGCAAACCACUUUAUUGCACUCUGUCCAUUGGAGGCCAGAUUUUCUACUGUAACAAGUUUCCUGCUAUGAUGUGCUGCCUCACUGCAGGCUCAAAGCAAUGGACACAUGGCAAAAAUCAAGGAAACCCUCUGCAACCAUGAGCCAAGACUGUUCAUUUUUUACUAGGUUAUAUUAGAUAGUUGCACUAGUUGCACAAAAUCUGAGUCAUAUUAAUGAUAACAUCUUCCAGAACUAUAAAUACCCAACAGGAUGAUCCCAUUGAGUCAAUGAUGGUAUUUAAUAUUUUCAAUAAUAUUCUACAGUAAGAUUGUCUGUUGAAAUACCCUGCUACUAAGGUAGCAGCCCACCAUGUCCAGAUAGCUCUCCAAGCACAGUGCAAAAUAGAGAACACCUUUCUCAAUGGGGCCUCUCCUUCUUCAUUGACCUUAUCUGGAGGAUGUCCCUAAGCACAAAUGUCUUAUCUAUAGGAUGACCCUGCACAGUGAUUCCUGCAACUUCCUGCAAGUACUGUAUAAUUCAGCACAUAAGUUCUACUCAGCCAUAGGUGGAGCUACAGCUUGUUUGCAGUUGUCUCUCUAGUUAAUGGAGCUGUUAUAUACCUAAGUAAAGCAAAACAUAUUUCCAUGUGCAGGGCAUGCUUUCAUUUUGCUAAGAUUAAUACUGAGGUACAACUAUAGGGUUGUACUGUAAAUGCUUACUUUAUUUUUAUAAGAAAUUCCCAAAAUGUUUGACAAAGAUCUGUUGCCAUUUCUCUUACUUUGAUUACUAUGCCAGGGAUCUAUUUCCUGCCCUUUCUUGCCUGAAAUUAGUGAUCAUUCUAGUUAUCUUGCCUUUAUAUAUAAGUGUGAAAUAAUUACUAUGGUUUACUGUUUGCUUGUUUGUGGAAGGAGUCUUUUUAUCAGGCUCAAGCUGGACUGAAAAUUCUUCAGAGUUCUCUUCCAUCUGUCCCCUGAGGAUAGUUUUCUAGCCAGACACCAGCACUCCUAGUAACUCCUGUGGUGGUCAUUUGUGUCUUGGCUGAGAAUGCAAUGAUCUCAUGUGCUGUUUUGUUUUAUCAACCUUCUUUUCAGUUCCAUGUCUUUUAUAUUAUUUGCAUAUUUUCUUUUUUGGUUUAUUUCUAUGUUGAUUAACCAGGCUGAUCUUUAUAUAUGUUAGCCAUAUUUAAACAGAUAUUUUCAAGUAUUUCUGCUAGUAUGUGUGUUGUCUUUCCUGCUUGUUAGAGAAUCUUUAGCGGAACAACGAUUUUUUAAUUUUGAUUUUAGGCCAUUUUAAUUUAAAUUUCAUUAACUGUUAUCUACAAAUUUAAAGUGCGUUUGUUACCUACUUUGCAUUAGUGUUUAAAUAAGAUGUGAGACAAGUCACAGUCUUUAGAAAUAAUUUUGUUAAUUAAAUUAGGUCACAGAUAGCCAGUUCCUCCAGAACUGUCAGCUGAAGUGAUGCUAUUUGCCUUGUACUUGGUAUUCUCUGUAAACUAAAACCAUUUAGGUAAACUGGCAUAAUUUAAGUAGGUCUAUUUCUGAGUCUCUUUAAAAUUCUCUUAUUCUGUUUCUCUAUGUCCUGUCUUAGUCUCUGUCUGUUCUGUUGUCAUUAAGAAGCCCCGUGACAAAGUCAUCUC
rnacentral:lncRNA from 1 species